CGGGCACGUCGCCCGCACGAAAAGCUUUGCUCAAAGUCCUAAAAUUCGAAGGCAUUACGAGGAUGAUGAUAAUGCAGAAGCUCACCAGAAAAUGGAGAAAAUCUCAAUGAGAAUCUCAUUUCGACGAGGAAGAUAAAUUCUCUUUGCCAACCCGCGACGAUUUUCGUCCCAUUGAUUCCCAAGAACAAGAAGAAUUGGUCCGAUCUCUAGAGAAAGUUCAAACCCAGCAAUAUCUUCUCUGGAGGGGUGUGUUUUCAGGGCUACUCUCCUGUUAUGCGGCUUUUCUCGUAUACUCAGUCUAUCAACAGGCCUAUUAUCCCUGGGAACUG